GCCCCCAUAGUUCAAUGGAUAGAACGACUCCCUUCUAAGGAGUAAAUCUAGGUUCGAUUCCUAGCGGGGGUA
rnacentral:tRNA from 1 species